ensembl:snRNA U6 U6 spliceosomal RNA
GUGCUCACUUCAGCAGCGCAUAUACUAAAACCAGAAUGAUACAGAGAACAUUAGCAUGGCCCCUGCGGAAGGAGGACACACAAAUUCGUGAAGUGUUCCAUAUUUUU